rnacentral:tRNA from 1 species
GACCCUGGGCGUUGGGCGUUCCGCCUUCGCCGAAGGCUGUUCACCGGGCUGCCCAGCGACUCGAUCGCCGACCUUCUAAGCGGCAGGUCGUAGGUUCGAGCCCUACCGGGGUCGCCA